UGGGGAAUCUUGCGCAAUGGGCGAAAGCCUGACGCAGCGACGCCGCGUGGGUGACGAAGGCCUUCGGGUUGUAAAGCCCUGUGGGGUAGAACGAACUGGCAUCGGGCUAAUAUCCCGGUGUCUUGACGGUACUGCCUUAGCAAGCAUCGGCUAACUCUGUGCCAGCAGCCGCGGUAAGACAGAGGAUGCGAACGUUGCUCGGAUUUACUGGGCGUAAAGCGCGUGUAGGCGGUCUCGUUAGUCGGGUGUGAAAGCCCCGGGCUCAACCCGGGAAGUGCACCCGAUACUGCGAGACUGGGGUACUGAAGAGGAGAGCGGAAUUCCCGGUGUAGAGGUGAAAUUCGUAGAUAUCGGGAGGAACACCAGUGGCGAAGGCGGCUCUCUGGGCAGAUACCGACGC
rnacentral:rRNA from 1 species